AGAGGUCCUCCGCGGCCAGGGGGGAACGCUUGCCUCAUCACCAUGGUGAUGAAGCAAGCAUUCUGCCAGGCCGCUCAUGCUGCCUGC
rfam:Myotis lucifugus cont2.57751, whole genome shotgun sequence.